rnacentral:rRNA from 1 species
GAUGAACGUUGGCGGCGUGCCUAAUACAUGCAAGUCGAACGGAGAGAUCGAUGUAGCAAUACAUUGAUUUUCUUAGUGGCGAACGGGUGAGUAACGCGUUGGUGACCUGCCCCAAAGAGAGGGAUAACAGUUCGAAAGGACUGCUAAUACCAUAUGUGAUCAUUUGGAUUAGAUGCCUUAUGAUUAAAGGAGCUUGCUCCGCUUUGGGAGGGGCCGGCGUGCCAUCAGCUAGUUGGUAGGGUAAUGGCCUACCAAGGCUAUGACGGCUAGGGGACCUGAGAGGGUGGCCCCCCACAAUGGAACUGAAACACGGUCCAUACACCUACGGGUGGCAGCAGUAGGGAAUAUUGGUAAUCUGCGAAAGCGGGAACCAGCAACGCCGCGUGUGCGAAGAAGGCCUUCGGGUUGUAAAGCACUUUUCGGGAGGAAGGAGGAAGGACUGUACUCCCGGAAUAAGUCUCGGCUAACUACGUGCCAGCAGCCGCGGUAAAGUGUGUGUA